CUAUGGAAUAUCUCUCGUUAACUUGAACUAAUUCUGUAUACGCCCUUCGGGGGAAAGAUUUUUCGGAGAUGGAUGAGCCCGCGUUGGACGCGUAGUUGCUGGUCUAAAGGCCUACUUGGCGACGAUCCAUAGCUGGUCUGAGAGGAUGAUCAGCCACAUUGGGACUGAGCCACGGUCCAACUCUAUACGGGAGGCAGCAGUGCUGAAUAUUGGACAAUGGGCGCAAGCCUGAUCCAGCCAUGCCGCGUGAGUGAUGAAGGCCCUAGGGUUGUAAAGCUCUUUCACCGGUGAAGAUAAUGACGGUAACCGGAGAAGAAGCCCCGGCUAACUUCGUGCCAGCAGCCGCGGUAAUACGAAGGGGGCUAGCGUUGUUCGGAAUUACUGGGCGUAAAGCGCACGUAGGCGGGUAUUUAAGUCAGGGGUGAAAUCCCGGAGCUCAACUCCGGAACUGCCUUUGAUACUGGGUACCUAGAGUAUGGAAGAGGUAAGUGGAAUUCCGAGUGUAGAGGUGAAAUUCGUAGAUAUUC
rnacentral:rRNA from 1 species